rnacentral:rRNA from 1 species
AGAGUUUGAUCAUGGCUCAGAUUGAACGCUGGCGGCAUGCCUUACACAUGCAAGUCGAACGGUAACGGGCCUUCGGGUGCCGACGAGUGGCGAACGGGUGAGUAAUGUAUCGGAACGUACCAUUCAGUGGGGGAUAACGUAGCGAAAGUUACGCUAAUACCGCAUAUUCUGUGCGCAGGAAAGCAGGGGAUCGCAAGACCUUGCGCUGAUUGAGCGGCCGAUAUCAGAUUAGCUAGUUGGUGAGGUAAAAGCUCACCAAGGCGACGAUCUGUAGCGGGUCUGAGAGGAUGAUCCGCCACACUGGAACUGAGACACGGUCCAGACUCCUACGGGAGGCAGCAGUGGGGAAUUUUGGACAAUGGGCGCAAGCCUGAUCCAGCCAUGCCGCGUGAGUGAAGAAGGCCUUCGGGUUGUAAAGCUCUUUCAGCCGGGAAGAAAACGCAUGGGUUAAUACCCUGUGUGGAUGACGGUACCGGAAUAAGAAGCACCGGCUAACUACGUGCCAGCAGCCGCGGUAAUACGUAGGGUGCGAGCGUUAAUCGGAAUUACUGGGCGUAAAGCGUGCGCAGGCGGUUUGGUAAGACAGGCGUGAAAUCCCCGGGCUUAACCUGGGAACUGCGUUUGUGACUGCCAGGCUAGAGUACGGCAGAGGGGGGUGGAAUUCCACGUGUAGCAGUGAAAUGCGUAGAGAUGUGGAGGAACACCAAUGGCGAAGGCAGCCCCCUGGGUCGAUACUGACGCUCAUGCACGAAAGCGUGGGUAGCAAACAGGGUUAGAUACCCUGGUAGUCCACGCCCUAAACGAUGUCAACUAGCCGUUGGGUCUCCUUGGAGACAUAGUGGCGCAGCUAACGCAUUAAGUUGACCGCCUGGGGAGUACGGCCGCAAGGUUAAAACUCAAAUGAAUUGACGG